UACGUAGGUCCCGAGCGUUGUCCGGAUUUAUUGGGCGUAAAGCGAGCGCAGGUGGUUUAUUAAGUCUGGUGUAAAAGGCAGUGGCUCAACCAUUGUAUGCAUUGGAAACUGGUAGACUUGAGUGCAGGAGAGGAGAGUGGAAUUCCAUGUGUAGCGGUGAAAUGCGUAGAUAUAUGGAGGAACACCAGUGGCGAAGGCGGCUCUCUGGUCUGCAACUGACGCUGAGGCUCGAAAGCAUGGGUAGCGAACAGG
rnacentral:rRNA from 1 species